CAGUGAAACAACAAAUUAUCUAU
rnacentral:snRNA from 1 species